rnacentral:rRNA from 2 species
UUUUAAAGAGAGUUUGAUCCUGGCUCAGGACGAACGCUGGCGGCGUGCCUAAUACAUGCAAGUCGAACGAAC